rnacentral:rRNA from 1 species
AUACGGAGGGUGCAAGCGUUACUCGGAAUCACUGGGCGUAAAGCGCGCGCAGGCGGCUUGAUAAGUUGGAUGUGAAAGCCUACGGCUCAACCGUAGAACUGCAUCCAAAACUGUCAGGCUAGAGUGUGGGAGAGGAAGAUGGAAUUAGUUGUGUAGGGGUAAAAUCCGUAGAGAUAACUAGGAAUACCAAAAGCGAAGGCAAUCUUCUGGAACACUACUGACGCUGAGGUGCGAAGGCGUGGGGAGCAAACAGGAUUAGAAACCCUGGUAGUCC